UACGAAGGGGGCUAGCGUUGCUCGGAAUCACUGGGCGUAAAGCGCACGUAGGCGGAUUGCUAAGUCAGGGGUGAAAUCCUGGAGCUCAACUCCAGAACUGCCUUUGAUACUGGCGAUCUCGAGUCCGGGAGAGGUGAGUGGAACUGCGAGUGUAGAGGUGAAAUUUGUAGAUAUUCGCAAGAACACCAGUGGCGAAGGCGGCUCACUGGCCCGGUACUGACGCUGAGGUGCGAAAGCGUGGGGAGCAAACAGG
rnacentral:rRNA from 1 species